CAGUAGCCGCGGGAAUACAGAGGGUGCGAGCGUUAAUCGGAUUUACUGGGCGUAAAGCGUGCGUAGGCGGCUUUUUAAGUCGGAUGUGAAAUCCCUGAGCUUAACUUAGGAAUUGCAUUCAAUACUGGGAAGCUAGAGUAUGGGAGAGGAUGGUAGAAUUCCAGGUGUAGCGGUGAAAUGCGUAGAGAUCUGGAGGAAUACCGAUGGCGAAGGCAGCCAUCUGGCCUAAUACUGACGCUGAGGUACGAAAGCAUGGGGAGCAAACAGGAUUAGAUACCCGAGUAGUCCCUGUCUCUUAUAU
rnacentral:rRNA from 1 species